rnacentral:misc_RNA from 1 species
GAUGAAGAACGUAGCGAAGUGCGAUAUGUAAUGUGAAUUGCAGAAUUCAGUGAAUCAUCGAAUCUUUGAACGCACAUUGCGCCCGCCAGUAUUCUGGCGGGCAUGCCUGUUCGAGCGUCAUUACAACCCUCAGGCCCCCGGGCCUGGCGUUGGGGAUCGGCGGAGCCCCCCGUGGGCACACGCCGUCCCCCAAAUACAGUGGCGGUCCCGCCGCAGCUUCCAUCGCGUAGUAGCUAACACCUCGCGACUGGAGAGCGGCGCGGCCACGCCGUAAAACACCCAACUCUUCUGAAGUUGACCUCGAAUCAGGUAGGAAUACCCGCUGAACUUAAGCAUAUCAAUAAGCGGAGGA